GAGUUUGAUCAUGGCUCAGAUUGAACGCUGGCGGCAUGCCUUACACAUGCAAGUCGAACGGUAACAGGGAGCUUGCUCCGCUGACGAGUGGCGAACGGGUGAGUAAUACAUCGGAACGUGCCCAGUAAUGGGGGAUAGCUCGGCGAAAGCCGGAUUAAUACCGCAUACGCCCUGAGGGGGAAAGUGGGGGACCGCAAGGCCUCACGUUAUUGGAGCGGCCGAUGGCUGAUUAGCUAGUUGGUAGGGUAAAGGCCUACCAAGGCGACGAUCAGUAGCUGGUCUGAGGGGACGAUCAGCCACACUGGGACUGAGACACGGCCCAGACUCCUACGGGAGGCAGCAGUGGGGAAUUUUGGACAAUGGGGGAAACCCUGAUCCAGCAAUGCCGCGUGUGCGAAGAAGGCCUUCGGGUUGUAAAGCACUUUUGUCAGGGAAGAAAUCCUUUGGGCUAAUACCCUAGGGGGAUGACGGUACCUGAAGAAUAAGCACCGGCUAACUACGUGCCAGCAGCCGCGGUAAUACGUAGGGUGCAAGCGUUAAUCGGAAUUACUGGGCGUAAAGCGUGCGCAGGCGGUUGUGUAAGACAGGUGUGAAAUCCCCGGGCUUAACCUGGGAAUUGCAUUUGUGACUGCACGACUAGAGUGUGUCAGAGGGGGGUGGAAUUCCACGUGUAGCAGUGAAAUGCGUAGAUAUGUGGAGGAACACCAAUGGCGAAAGGCAGCCCCCUGGGAUAACACUGACGCUCAUGCACGAAAGCGUGGGGAGCAAACAGGAUUAGAUACCCUGGUAGUCCACGCCCUAAACGAUGUCAACUAGUUGUUGGGGAUUUACUUCCUUGGUAACGUAGCUAACGCGUGAAGUUGACCGCCCUGGGGAGUACGGCCGCAAGUUAAACUCAAGGAAUUGACGGGGACCCGCACAGCGGUGGAUGAUGUUGAUUAAUUCGAUGCACGCGAAAACUACUACCCUGACAUGCAGACUUUCAGAGAUGAUGUGCUCGAAGAGACUGCACACAGUGCUGCAUGCUGUCGUCAGCUCGGGUUCCUGGAAUGUUAGUAGUCGCACGAGGCAACCUUGCCAUAUGCUCGAGUCACUCUAUGAACUGCGGUACUACCUGAGGAAAGGUGGGAGUGC
rnacentral:rRNA from 1 species